rnacentral:miRNA from 1 species
UUUUAAGCAUCGGUAACAAACA